GCUAUACAUGCAGUCGAGCGGACAGAUGGGAGCUUGCUCCCUGAUGUUAGCGGCGGACGGGUGAGUAACACGUGGGUAACCUGCCUGUAAGACUGGGAUAACUCCGGGAAACCGGGGCUAAUACCGGAUGGUUGUUUGAACCGCAUGGUUCAAACAUAAAAGGUGGCUUCGGCUACCACUUACAGAUGGACCCGCGGCGCAUUAGCUAGUUGGUGAGGUAACGGCUCACCAAGGCAACGAUGCGUAGCCGACCUGAGAGGGUGAUCGGCCACACUGGGACUGAGACACGGCCCAGACUCCUACGGGAGGCAGCAGUAGGGAAUCUUCCGCAAUGGACGAAAGUCUGACGGAGCAACGCCGCGUGAGUGAUGAAGGUUUUCGGAUCGUAAAGCUCUGUUGUUAGGGAAGAACAAGUACCGUUCGAAUAGGGCGGUACCUUGACGGUACCUAACCAGAAAGCCACGGCUAACUACGUGCCAGCAGCCGCGGUAAUACGUAGGUGGCAAGCGUUGUCCGGAAUUAUUGGGCGUAAAGGGCUCGCAGGCGGUUUCUUAAGUCUGAUGUGAAAGCCCCCGGCUCAACCGGGGAGGGUCAUUGGAAACUGGGGAACUUGAGUGCAGAAGAGGAGAGUGGAAUUCCACGUGUAGCGGUGAAAUGCGUAGAGAUGUGGAGGAACACCAGUGGCGAAGGCGACUCUCUGGUCUGUAACUGACGCUGAGGAGCGAAAGCGUGGGGAGCGAACAGGAUUAGAUACCCUGGUAGUCCACGCCGUAAACGAUGAGUGCUAAGUGUUAGGGGGGUUUCCGCCCCUUAGUGCUGCAGCUAACGCAUUAAGCACUCCGCCUGGGGAGUACGGUCGCAAGACUGAAACUCAAAGGAAAUUGACGGGGGCCCGCCACAGCGGUGGAGCAUGUGGUUUAAUUCGA
rnacentral:rRNA from 1 species